rnacentral:rRNA from 1 species
UACGUAGGGUGCAAGCGUUGUCCGGAAUUAUUGGGCGUAAAGAGCUCGUAGGCGGUCUGUCACGUCGGCUGUGAAAACCCGGGGCUCAACCCCGGGCCUGCAGUCGAUACGGGCAGACUAGAGUGCGGUAGGGGAGACUGGAAUUCCUGGUGUAGCGGUGAAAUGCGCAGAUAUCAGGAGGAACACCGGUGGCGAAGGCGGGACUCUGGGCCGAUACUGACGCUGAGGAGCGAAAGCGUGGGGAGCGAACAGG